UAACCAGCUGGGAGAGACCGGAUCUACUUCACUGUCCCCACAGCCGGCACAACGCUUUACUUCUCUCCCACCCCUCCCCCACGCCUUUGGGUCUCUGGGGAAACCAAGCUUGGAGGUCUGCUUCAGAUGCCAAGGUCAGCAGAAUUCAGAGACAGCCUUGGGCCAAGACUGAGCCAGACCAAGGUAGCCACGUCCACCUACCUGGGUUCUAGCGGAGGGUUCUGAGGACCCUCACAGUGGCCCGGCUGUGCUAGGGAACCCCAACGGUGCAGAACAGAGCCACUGCACCCAGAAAACAGCCCCGAGGCUCCUGGCAGACCCCCGUAAGUUCCAGCUGGGGAAGAUUCUGAAUCCUUUUCCAGAGAGAGUUGCGCAGAUCGCUGAUCGCGUGUGUGUGUUUUCAAAGCUAGGCAAAGGAAACAGCAGCCAAUUAAAAUGAAAUAUUUUCAGUUCC